CGCCAACACACUGAAGUUUCAACAAGUGGGUAUUCCUCCUUCACCAUGGGCACUUCUUCCUGCAUCCUUUGCUGGUUCUCCUCCCUCCCCACCUUACUCCUUGCAGCGCCCUGGGCUCAGGCCUCCAUGUCUUUCUUCCUUACACUCUCUCCCUUGUGAGCUCAUCCAUCUGUAUGCUGAUGGCUUCCACAUUUCUAAUGCUAGCCUCGACCCUCUUCCCAGAACUCCAGACUCCUACAAGCAGUUGCCCAUUCAAACUCUCCCCUUGGGUGUUUAAUAGAUAUAUCAGAUCUAAUAUGUCUAAUAAUGCAUCUCAAAUGGAAUUCCUCAUCUUCCCCUCUGCAAACCUGUUCCCCACCGCCCCUACAGUCUUCCCCACUUGGUUAAUGAUGGCUCCAUCCUUCUGGUGACACCUUGGAGUCAUCCUUGAUUCUGCUAUUUCUUUCACUUCAAAUACCUAAACCAUCAGGAAACCCGGACAGCUCCACCUUCCACCUCUGUUAGAACCUCAGCACCUAGCCAUCCCCCAUCACCUCCCCCACUCCCACCACCCUAGCAUAAGGCACCAUCACAUCUUACCUGGACUCUUGCAGUAGCCUACUAAUUGCUGUCCCUGCUGCGGUACUUGACCCCUAUAGUAAUGCUCUACAUAGCUGCCAGGAUGAUCCCUUUAAAACACAAACACUAGACCCAGUCACACCUGCUUAUAAUCCUCCAAGAGGCAAAGUCUUUGCCAAGGCCACAAGGCCCUGUACUACCUGAACCUCCCCGCUUGCUAAGACCUCCCUCUCUUACUCUGUGCCAGCCACGCCUACCUUGGUGCUUUCCGUGAACACACCAGGGGCACACUCCCACCUUGGAUCUUCAUACUGGCUGUUCACUCUUCUCAUUCCUCACCUCCCUCAGACCUCUGCUCAGAGGUCACCUUUGCUGUGAGGCUUACCUUGACUGUCCCAUUUAAAAGUGCACCCCGACAUUCUGCAUGGUGGCUUCCCUCUUCCAUUGUGCAUGUCCUCUUCUUACAUACUGGAGUUUCUUGAGCCUUGUGUUUGCUGUCUUCUCCCUCCAGCAUUAUCCGUUUUGUGCCCUGCAGCAUUCCCACAGCAACCAGCACAGCCCUUGUGUGGUGGAGGUGCCGGGCAUACUGAGAUGCAUCUGUCAGCAUCUGCCUCCUGGUACCUUGGGCCUGCAUGUCUGGCAGGCAGGUAGAAGAACACGCUGGCCAUUUCAAUGUUAAGACAAAGAGGUAGAGAAGGCUGGAUGAAGGAGGUGAUGACUGAACCAUAUCCUGAGGCAGCUGGGGUUUCCAGGAAGAGGACAGAGAGAAGGACAUUCAGGUGGAGGAGCCAGCAGAUGUGACAACCAGUGCACAGAGAGAUUAACUAACUUGCCGUCCAGUGGGCAUGUGGUGGAGCCCAGGGUGAAACCCAGGCAGUCUCUAAAGCAUUGCCUUCCAACAUGCAAUGGAGUGUGAAAUGCGGAAGCCAUGGGGAAGCACAGGAAAUCGGCCAUCUCUUGGAAAACCCCAAACCUCAAGGCCAUACACUCCUUGUGGCCAAGUGAGCAUCUUGGCAACUUCCCGGCUUUUCCAAAGAGAACUAACUCCUGCUGGGGGCCCCCCAAGUCACCCCUCAUGGCCCUUACUUCUAGUGCUCUGGAAAUGGCUGAAACCAAUGGAUUAACUUGCUUUCCCUAUUAAAUAUUUACAUAAACACGCUCGGGAAGGUGUGUGUAAGUUAUCAAUAAUGCAAGGCCAGCCUAGGCUCGGUGAGAGCUAAGAGACCCAAAUUGUAUCAUCAUAAUCCAUUAUUCACAUAUAAUGCGUCUAUUCUCCUCCAUUAGCGCAGGCAGGAAAUGCCCCUGAGUGCCGGGCAGGGCUUUGGAAAGCGCAAUAAAUGGCGGACAGACACAUGGCGGGAGGGCGG
rnacentral:lncRNA from 10 species